rnacentral:tRNA from 1 species
UACAGCUAAGGAGACUUGAACUCCUAAGGACUAAGUCCACUACGUCCUUAGCGUAGCACGUUUACCAUUUCGUCAUAGCUGU